rnacentral:rRNA from 1 species
GAGUUUGAUCCUGGCUCAGAUUGAACGCUGGCGGCAUGCCUUACACAUGCAAGUCGAACGGCAGCAUGAUCUAGCUUGCUAGAUUGAUGGCGAGUGGCGAACGGGUGAGUAAUACAUCGGAACGUGCCCUGUAGUGGGGAUAACUAGUCGAAAGAUUAGCUAAUACCGCAUACGACCUGAGGGUGAAAGUGGGGGACCGCAAGGCCUCAUGCUAUAGGAGCGGCCGAUGUCUGAUUAGCUAGUUGUGGGUAAAGGCCCACCAAGGCGACGAUCAGUAGCUGGUCUGAGAGGACGAUCAGCCACACUGGGACUGAGACACGGCCCAGACUCCUACGGGAGGCAGCAGUGGGAUUUUGGACAAUGGGCGAAAGCC